rnacentral:rRNA from 1 species
CCUACGGGGGGCUGCAGUGGGGAAUCUUGCGCAAUGCGCGAAAGCGUGACGCAGCAACGCCGCGUGGAGGAAGACGGCCUUCGGGUUGUAAACUCCUUUCAGUUGGGACGAAGCUUCACUGGUUAAGAGCUGGUUGGAGUGACGGUACCUUCAGAAGAAGCCCCGGCUAACUACGUGCCAGCAGCCGCGGUAAUACGUAGGGGGCAAGCGUUGUCCGGAAUCAUUGGGCGUAAAGCGCGUGUAGGCGGCCUUGUAAGUCCGUUCUGAAAGCCCGG